GAUGGUCACUGUCCUGGACCAGAUGAAGGCAGGCACCUACAAGCUCACCUUCGACACUGAGGGCUACUGGAGGAAGAGGGGGCAGGAAAGCUUCUACCCACAUGUGGAGAGGUUUUCAUCUGAGCCAACUCCAGCUCUCUGGGCCUAACCUCACUGCCUCACCCCACACUGGAGCCGCCGCAGAAGCGCCUGACUUACUGGGCUGUGGCUUCUGUGGAGUGUCCCUCUGGUUGUUUUAACCAUCACCAGCAAGGCCCAGAAGUUCCACGUGCCCCUGGUCCUACAUCACCUACCGAGGGAGUUAGAGCGAAGACUGGCAGCGGGAGGCUGCCUGCCCGUUCCCGCACGCUGGCUGCACCCACCCAGCCCUCAACAGAGCGGGCUUUGUGCUCAUCAGGGAGCAUUGGCUCACCACUUCCUAGGGAAGUCCCGGCCCCCUGGAGAAUCCCACUGGGCAGCUGUGACUCAGGUGUCAAUGAAGUUAGUGCCAGCACCUGCAAAGCUGUCCAUUCGGUGGGACAACAGUGGCGCGAAGACAGGCAGCACAGCGCGGCACUGCCCCAACCCCCAGGUGAGUGCGGGGCACUCUGAGAAGGUGCCGCCGACUGUGGUCGGAGGUGAGACCAGGGAGUAGGCCUGGACACAGGCUGGACGUGCGGCACCCAGGGAAGGGAGCGACAGGGACACCAUGGGUGAGGGUCCUGCAGGUGGUUCUCCUCCACAGAGCCAGGAAAGAGGAUGGCAAGAACAUGUGAAAAGCUUUCAUUUGCUGAUGAUAAAAUCUAAAAAA
rnacentral:lncRNA from 1 species